rnacentral:rRNA from 1 species
UACGUAGGGGGGGGCAAGCGUUGUUCGGAAUUACUGGGCGUAAAGGGCGCGUAGGCGGCCUGCUAAGUCGGACGUGAAAUCCCUCGGCUCAACCGAGGAACUGCGUCCGAUACUGGUGGGCUUGAAUCCGGGAGAGGGAUGUGGAAUUCCAGGUGUAGCGGUGAAAUGCGUAGAUAUCUGGAGGAACACCGGUGGCGAAGGCGGCAUCCUGGACCGGUAUUGACGCUGAGGCGCGAAAGCUAGGGGAGCAAACGGG